ensembl:lncRNA novel transcript, antisense to MALT1
GGUGACUAUGAUGACAGAAAACAUAAAAAGAAACAGGGUCUCAGUAUGUUUCCCAGGCUGGGAGGAAACCUUCUGUUAGAGCCUUUUACACGUUCUCAUUCCUAUAAUAAACUGCAUGAAAGCAGGAUUUCUGCAGCUAAAAGUGCACCUUCUACUCAGCAGGAGUCCUCCAUACCUGGCUUUCUUCAGGAAGCCCAGAACCUUCCCUAACCAGAGUACUCGUUAGCACCGUAAUACUCUGGAGAUCUGCCCCCAAAGACAAUUUUUUACAUUAUGGAGUGGACACUGCAGUUUCCAGCGUUCUGUGACCUGUAAUAGUGCGACAGACUGAAUGCAGAAGCACAUAAACGAAUCCAGCUCUGUGAUUAAGCCAAGACAUUAAAGAGAUCUUCAAAAUG